rnacentral:lncRNA from 1 species
GUGAUGGUGAGCGGACCGGAAGGAGGAGAUGGGAAAAUACCUGGGUCAUUGGCUGAUGGAGGAUUCUCUGUUCUCACAGACCCAGAACCAAGGAAUGUGACCUUUGAACCCCUCAGCACUUCCCUGGCCGAGGACAACCAGCCCUCUGAGGCUGACACCUUAAAAAACAUGGACAGAGAUUACAACGUGCACCACCUGCACAGAGGACCUCUAGAACAUGAGCCUGCAUUCCAAAAGAAGUUGGAUUCUGAGAAUACAUCUCUUCUUCCAAGAAAAA